rnacentral:rRNA from 1 species
CAGUAGCCGCGGUAAUACGUAGGUGGCAAGCGUUGUCCGGAUUUAUUGGGCGUAAAGCGAGCGCAGGCGGUUUCUUAAGUCUGAUGUGAAAGCCCCCGGCUCAACCGGGGAGGGUCAUUGGAAACUGGGAGACUUGAGUGCAGAAGAGGAGAGUGGAAUUCCAUGUGUAGCGGUGAAAUGCGUAGAUAUAUGGAGGAACACCAGUGGCGAAGGCGGCUCUCUGGUCUGUAACUGACGCUGAGGCUCGAAAGCGUGGGGAGCGAACAGGAUUAGAUACCCCGGUAGUCCCUGUCUCUUAUAU